rnacentral:lncRNA from 1 species
UUUUGUGGGGGAAGGGCACACGUACCACACAGAGAACAACUGCGGAAAGAAACCCUCUCUUUCUGCCCUGUGGGUCCUGGGUAUCAAACUCAGGUUGCAAGGCUCAGCAGCAGGCACCGAUACCCACCCUUCCUCUUACAUCUGUUUGUUUUGAGACUGCUCUCACUGUGUAGUCCCAGCUGGCCCAGAAUUUGCGUGUGUAGACCAGGCUAGCCUGGAGCUCAUGGAGAAAGGCCUGCACCUUUUGUCACCUGCUACUAACCACUAUUCAUUCAACGCACAGAGGCUUAUGGUUGCUUACAGGCUGGGUUUUUAUUGAACACGUGGGUUAGAAAUAGAUGCGGAGAGAGACCCUUUCAUCCUCAGAUCUGCUGGUGGGAAAUCUGCUUCCUAUUUACGUGUAGAUGACUGAGAACACAGCCGGAACAACAAUGGUCUCAAAACCGACAGCCAUCAGCAAGAAGGGGGAAGAAAGAAAAUGCUGCCUCAGCUCUUGCUGGAGAGAACUGUCUGCCUGAACAGUAGUUCAACUAUGGAAGGAAAACAGUGUCGCCUGAAACGGACCCUCAAAGCUUCCAUAAUGCACACCAUAGAUCCCGCUGCCACAUGGGGCCCAGCUACUGCCUUACUCAGGAGACCCAGGAAGCUUCUAUGCUCCCUGCACUGUGACUCUUCACACUUCAGUCCUCACUUCAGCACAAGCUACAUUGAUGUUUUGUUCUGGUUUGGUUUGGGUUUGGGUUUGGGUUUGGUUUGGUUUGAGACAGAUUUCUCUGUGUAGUCCUGGCUGUCCUGGAGCUCACUCUGUAGACCAAAACUGUCCUGGAAGUCAGAGAUCCACCUGCCUCUGCCUCUCAGUGCUGGGAUUAAAGGCCUGUGUCUCCACCACCCAGCAAAACUACAUUCUUUACUUUGGGGUUAAAGAACACAGGAGAAUACUUUGGAGAAAGGUUGAGUUUUGUUUUGUUUUUAUAAUAUACUAGUUAGUUAGUUAGUUAGUUAGUUAGUUAGUUUUGAGACAGGGUCUAGCUAUAUAGUCCCAGCUAUUCUGCAACUCUCGAUAUAGAACAAAUUAGCCUUGAAUUUAUGACAGUCUUCCUGCUUCUGCCUCUGGAAUACUUGAAAAUGGAGUUGCAACCUAUAUUCUGUAAAGUGCACUGAUCUUCAGGAAAGAAUUCCAGUAGAAAUUCCGGUGGUUUUUUUUACAUCACAUGCCUGUGGAACCCUACCCCAGACAUGGAACACUCCAGUCACCACAAGGCACUCCCUGUGUUCUUUCCUGUCCCUACCCUAUACCCCACCCUAGCCUGCCAGGAAAUUGUGCACUGCACUGAUGGCCUGUGCCAGCAAUGUUUCAGCCUGCUCUAACUGAUAGUGUGGGCUGAGCCUCCUGGGACUCAGCUCUUCCUUUCCUGUGCUCUAAGGCCAGGUAAGUCCAGGAAGACCCAUCGUACAGACAACAGCUUCUCAGGGACCCCACCUAGUGAGAGCAGGGCCUGUCCCUACUGUCCUAAUUAUCAUGAGACAGACCCCAGGCCUUGACCUUGAGCCUGGCCUGCCAGGCCUUCCUCCCUUGCAUACUGAGCACUGAGCAUAGAAACUCAAUAUAUAACUUAGUCUUUCUAGAGUAAGAGGCAAGACCAGAUGGGAGAGCUCAGAGUUACUGUAACUGGAGUCUGCCAACCUGGAUUUCAGUCUUCUGCUAGCUGUGAAUCCUCCUUCAGCCCUACCCCUGCCUCUCCCAGUUUCUUUUUCUCUAAAAUGGCAUUAAAAUGAAGCCUUUUUAAGAAGCUACCCAAAGCACGCUAUAAACCCACAAGUGCUAUAGAAGCAUAAAGAGUCAUUACUGUUACCAUAAUAAAUUCCCAGACCCUGUAUGGGAUGCAGCCCAGGGACUGCUUAUCCAGGUAGGUUACAGUGGUCUCUGACUACAAACCCCAUAGCACCACCAUCUUCUUCAAAGGAAGGGACCUGGGGUCUUCUGGGAAUCUCUGGAAGGCUUUGAUAUUGCUUCUUUGCUACUUUAAUUGCAGUUAUGAUUUAUUGAAGGCUCAUCGUGUGUCAGGUAAAGCACAUAAAACUGAACAUGCCAGAGUUAAGCGUCGGCGGUGCACGCCUGCAAGUCCAGGAGCUGGGCCAUAGAGGUAAGAGCAUCAACUACAUAGUGAAAUCUACAUGAUGCCCCGUCUCAGAAAAAAACAACAACAACUCUUAGCAAGUCUUCAUAGGGCCUGCUGACCUGCUGUUGUCCAAAUACACAAGAGAUUAAGGAGCAUGUUCAAAGUCAUGUAACAAGAGAUAGAGCAACAAUAGCAAGUGAUAGACUAAAAGGAAAUAAAACUUGAGACAUGUGAUUCAUGUAAUUUAUGUCAAAUAGCCCAAAGAGUUGUUUAUGAGCUUUAAAACCUGGGGCUGAGAACAUAGCAGAACAGGCCAAGACAUGCCCAGGCAGGCCCUUUGUUACAUGUCCUGACUGGCCUGGUGCCACCCUAUCUCCCACCCUUCUGACAGUCUGUUGAUGUUUAAAUGGACCAAUCAUGUAAAACUGCGCCAAUUCCUCCCCCAGCCUCACCCCUUUUCUAUAAAAACCCCUAGCUUCCAAGCCUCAGGGUCGAAACCACUGUCUCCUGUGUGAGAUACGUUUCGAACCGGAGCUCCGCCAUUAUGGCUCCACCAUGUGGUCGACACCUCUGUCUCCUAUGGGAGAUAUGUGUCGGCCUGGAGCUCCAUCAUUAAACUACCUCAUGCUUUUACAUCAAGAUGGUCGUCUGUUUGUGAUUCUUGGGUGCGCGCCGAACGGAAAUUGAGUGGGGGUUUCCCCACUAGGUUCUUU